rnacentral:lncRNA from 10 species
AGAACACAACAUAUUCCUCAUGUGUUUGUGGUGAAGCUGACAUAAACAACCUACUACAGGCCUACCAGUCAUAAAAGCUAAGUUUACUUGGCCUAUUUAAGGACAGUCACAAAAGAGAGUUAAUGGAUACCAAAGUUUGGAAGAGACAGCACUAUCUCACUGUAACUUGGAACUGAACCAGAUGGGGUCUCGUUGUGCUGCCCAGGUUGCUCUUAAACUACUGAUCUCAAGCAAUCCUCCCACCUCUGGCUCUCAAGUAGCUGG